rnacentral:tmRNA from 3 species
GGGGAUGACAGGGUUCGAUAUGUGGACCUUGAUAUCAUUCAUAUGCAUGCCGAGUAUGUAUAUCUGCUCGUACCCACCGAUAUACACAUUACAAGUGCAAACCUUGUUACCCGAGUGAAGACCGCUCUUGCUUCGGCAUUCAGCGCGCCUGCAUUCGCAGCUGUCGUCGCCUAAAGGCUUGAUGACCAUCGCAUCGCACGAUACUCGAUAUCGCGAAGGCGGUGCCAACCCCCAUCGAGUGUAGGAUAUACUGACACCUGGGUGGUAUAUCUGAACCUUUGCCUCAGGUUUUCACACAUGCCUUUUUGUUCCUUUCCUAGGCACGUGUGGCGAUACCAAAGGAACUUAGCAUGAAGAUUAUGCUGGUAUCCCAUGUAGACCCGGGUUCGAUUCCCGGCAUCUCCACGA